AUGUUCAAAACUCACGAUGCACCACAUCGCUCCAUUUCAAGGGAGCUUAGUAUCCUUAGAGAUGCAUGCGAAGAGAUAUGUGCAAGCCCUCUGAUGAAGCGCAUUUCGGCGGUUCAAGUUUUGACAUAUGGGUGUUCGGCUGAUUUAAUCGACAACUAUGUCCGCACUAGAGAAGACACAAUCUUGAAGGUCGUUCAAAGGUUCACAAAAGCAGUGAAGUGGCGGAAGAUGUGGAGAAAGCCUUCACAAUCAUUCAUGGGCCCGCCGAGUACUAGAGCUCCAAGAUUCUAUGGCAAAUCAUAA
rnacentral:rRNA from 1 species